rnacentral:rRNA from 2 species
AGUGGCGGACGGGUGAGUAAUGUCUGGGAAACUGCCCGAUGGAGGGGGAUAACUACUGGAAACGGUAGCUAAUACCGCAUAACGUCGCAAGACCAAAGUGGGGGACCUUCGGGCCUCACACCAUCGGAUGUGCCCAGAUGGGAUUAGCUAGUAGGUGGGGUAAUGGCUCACCUAGGCGACGAUCCCUAGCUGGUCUGAGAGGAUGACCAGCCACACUGGAACUGAGACACGGUCCAGACUCCUACGGGAGGCAGCAGUGGGGAAUAUUGCACAAUGGGCGCAAGCCUGAUGCAGCCAUGCCGCGUGUAUGAAGAAGGCCUUCGGGUUGUAAAGUACUUUCAGCGGGGAGGAAGGCGGUGAGGUUAAUAACCUUGCCGAUUGACGUUACCCGCAGAAGAAGCACCGGCUAACUCCGUGCCAGCAGCCGCGGUAAUACGGAGGGUGCAAGCGUUAAUCGGAAUUACUGGGCGUAAAGCGCACGCAGGCGGUCUGUUAAGUCAGAUGUGAAAUCCCCGGGCUUAACCUGGGAACUGCAUUUGAAACUGGCAGGCUUGAGUCUCGUA